UUGAAAGAUUUGUUUAAGCAUAUACACAUUACUUGUUAACUAUUUGAUAUCUAAAUUGUGCUAAAGUUUACAUAAUGGUGGAACAGCAGAGACGUCGCUUAGAGGUUGCCAUAGCCGAUAUGAUUGAAGAUAUGUAUCGCAGUCAUUUGCGACGCAUGCAGUCAAUUAUGCAUCGCUGCGCUGCCAAAUGCUGCGAUGAUGAGCGUGGCAGCUUGGAGUCAGUGCAGAAUUGUAUAGAGAAGUGUGCUUCCCCCUUGAUGGAUGCACAAGAUUUUCUACAGAAUGAGCUGGGACAGUUUCAGAAUCAUUUGCAGCUGUGUGUUAAGGAAUGCAAUAAUGAUGCACGCGGUCGUUUGCCCAGUAAUCCAAGUGAUCGCGAACUUUCACGCUCUAAGAAUUUAUAUGAAAACUGCACGGGCAAUUGUGUGGACAAGCAUAUUAAUCUGAUACCCAGUCUUAUGAAGUCUAUAAAGCGCACUUUGGAUCGUGGUGUGCCGACGCGUGCUCAUCUACGCGAUCAGGAGGAUGUUUAAGACAAGCCCCCAAAAGCUCAAACCAUAACACAUGUUUUCUAUGUACAACGCAAACAGCCAGCUGUAGCACUUGGGGUCAAGGCGUGUUUUUUGAUAAGACUACUUAAUCGGGAGGUGCUCUAUAGAAUUCUCUAGG